rnacentral:piRNA from 1 species
ACCUCAGAAAAAGAACAGCAAGA